rnacentral:rRNA from 1 species
GGAAGACUUAAAAAUAGUGGCAAAAAGCCAACCGAGCUUGGUGAUAGCUGGUUACUCAACAAAUGAACCUUAGUUCAACUUUAGGUGCCCACGGGCCAACUACUUUAACCCACCACUUAUUUGACCUAAAGAAAUUCAAUGGGGGUACAGCCCCAUUGAACCGGAAUACAACCCGAAUUGAGAGACACUUUAAACUUUAACCCCAACAGUAGGCCUCAAAGCAGCCACCAACUAAACGCGUUACAGCUACAACAAAACAAUUUUUACAAUAAUGAACACCUCCUAACACACCACGAGUUAUUCUAUUCUUUAAUAGAAACACCAAUGCUAAAAUUAGUAAUAAGAAACCCUAAUUUCUCUCCGCACCCCCUUAAAUCAGAAUAGAAAAACUACUGAUAAUUAACACCAGGACCCCCAACAACUAGCUAACAUGUCAACUAAAAUCUGUUACCCCAACACAGGAGUGCAAAAAAGAAAGGCAAAAAGCCAUAAAAGGAACUCGGCAAACCCCCACCGUCCCAACUGUUUACCAAAAACAUAGCCUUUAGCUCAACAAGUAUUAAAGGUCCCGCCUGCCCAGUGACUCUUUAAACGGCCGCGGUAUCCUAACCGUGCAAAGGUA